GACGAACGCUGGCGGCAUGCCUAACACAUGCAAGUCGAACGAUCCCUUCGGGGAUAGUGGCGCACGGGUGCGUAACGCGUGGGAAUCUGCCCUUGGGUUCGGAAUAACAGUUAGAAAUGACUGCUAAUACCGGAUGAAGUCUUCGGACCAAAGAUUUAUCGCUCAGGGAUGAGCCCGCGUAGGAUUAGGUAGUUGGUGAGGUAAAGGCUCACCAAGCCGCCGAUCCUUAGCUGGUCUGAGAGGAGGAUCAGCCACACUGGGACUGAGACACGGCCCAGACUCCUACGGGAGGCAUCAGUGGGGAAUAUUGGACAAUGGGCGCAAGCCUGAUCCAGCAAUGCCGCGUGAGUGAUGAAGGCCUUCGGGUCGUAAAGCUCUUUUACCCGGGAUGAUAAUGACAGUACCGGGAGAAUAAGCUCCGGCUAACUCCGUGCCAGCCGCCGCCGUAAAAC
rnacentral:rRNA from 1 species